rnacentral:rRNA from 1 species
AACGAACGCUGGCGGCAGGCUUAACACAUGCAAGUCGAGCGCCCCGCAAGGGGAGCGGCAGACGGGUGAGUAACGCGUGGGAAUCUACCCAUCACUACGGAACAACUCUGGGAAACUGGAGCUAAUACCGUAUACGUCCUGGAGAAGAUUAUCGUGAUGGAUGAGCCGCGUUGGAUUAGCUAGUUGGUGGGGUAAGUGGC